rnacentral:rRNA from 1 species
UACGAAGGGAGCUAGCGUUGUUCGGAAUCACUGGGCGUAAAGCGCACGUAGGCGGAUGUGUCAGUCAGGGGUGAAAUCCCGGAGCUCAACUUCGGAACUGCCUUUGAUACAGCACGUCUUGAGUCCGGAAGAGGUGGGUGGAAUUCCUAGUGUAGAGGUGAAAUUCGUAGAUAUUAGGAAGAACACCGGUGGCGAAGGCGGCCCACUGGUCCGGUACUGACGCUGAGACACGAAAGCGUGGGUAGCAAACAGG